rnacentral:rRNA from 1 species
UACAGAGGUCUCAAGCGUUGUUCGGAUUCAUUGGGCGUAAAGGGUGUGUAGGUGGCGCCGUAAGUCGGGUGUGAAAUCCCGGAGCUCAACUCCGGAACUGCACUUGAUACUGCUUUACUAGAGUACUGGAGAGGAGACUGGAAUUUACGGUGUAGCAGUGAAAUGCGUAGAUAUCGUAAGGAAGACCAGUGGCGAAGGCGAGUCUCUGGACAGUUACUGACGCUGAGGCACGAAGGCCAGGGGAGCAAACGGG